rnacentral:rRNA from 1 species
AAUUUCUGGUAUGGUGCGCCUGGCCCGCUGCAGCAAUGCAUGCGAGUGUCGGUGUGCGUCUGCCAUCUUUGUGGGGAAACUCCUCUUCACUGGGGAGUUGCACCACAUCUUUUACUUUGAAAAAAUUAGAGUGUUUAAAGCAGGCUUGCGCUAUGAAUACAUUAGCAUGGAAUAAUAAUUUAGGACUUCGUUUCUAUUUUGUUGGUUUCUAGGGAUGAAGUAAUGAUUGAUAGGGAUAGUUGGGGGUGCUAGUAUUCAUCGGCCAGAGGUGAAAUUCUUGGAUUCGAUGAAGACUAACUUAUGCGAAAGCAUU